AGAGUUUGAUCAUGGCUCAGAAUCAACGCUGGCGGCGCGCCUAACACAUGCAAGUCGAACGAGAAAGCACCCUUCGGGGUGUGAGUAAAGUGGCGCACGGGUGAGUAACACGUGGGUAACCUACCCUCCGGUGGGGAAUAACCCUGGGAAACCGGGGCUAAUACCGCAUACGACCUUCGGGUGAAAGGGCCUUUGGCCCGCCGGAGGAGGGGCCCGCGGCCGAUUAGCUUGUUGGUGAGGUAAUGGCUCACCAAGGCGACGAUCGGUAGCCGGCCUGAGAGGGCACACGGCCACACUGGCACUGAGACACGGGCCAGACUCCUACGGGAGGCAGCAGUGGGGAAUCUUGCACAAUGGGGGAAACCCUGAUGCAGCGACGCCGCGUGAGCGAUGAAGCCCUUCGGGGUGUAAAGCUCUUUCAGCGGGGACGAUCA
rnacentral:rRNA from 1 species